UACGGGGGGGGCAAGCGUUGUUCGGAAUUACUGGGCGUAAAGGGCGCGUAGGCGGUGCUCUAAGUCGGAUGUGAAAACUCUGGGCUCAACCCAGAGCCUGCAUCCGAAACUGGAGUGCUAGAGUUCUGGAGGGGGUAGCGGGAAUUCCUGGUGUAGCGGUGAAAUGCGUAGAUAUCAGGAGGAACACCAAUGGCGAAGGCAGCUCGCUGGGACGGUACUGACGCUGAGGCGCGAAAGCGUGGGGAGCAAACAGG
rnacentral:rRNA from 1 species